GCUAACCGAAAUGCCAAAAGAAAAAGAAAAAGUGUUAGGUAUUAGUAUGUGAUCAUUUUAUGCAAAUUAUGUUAUCUACAUAUCAAAACCAUGAGUGGGUUCCAUCAACAAAACCAAAAAACAUGCAAGGGGAGUUUACUCUCUCAAAAACUAAAAAAUAAACACGAGUGCUUCAUGGGAAACAUUCUGUCGAGACUUAUAAUGUACAUAAACCAGUCCGUCUUCUGGGGAUCUUGAAUAAAAUACAUUUGGUUGAGGAUGUCGGUGCAGUCUUUUAUUCAACAAGACAGAGUCACAGUGUCCUCGCAUGGAGGCGAGGUACGGCUGAACAAAGUCCUUUGGAUAGCUUACUUAUUGGACACAAAUACAUCAUGCCACUGAACACUGGAGCCUGCUGAAAGCUCGUAGUUUAUUUUCUCUAUAGUGUCCUUCGUGAAACGCCGAGCGGUGUGUUUUAAGUGUGUGGCUGCAGCUGUCUGGGAAGGGCAGCGCUUCCCCAUGUGGAGACAGCAGGGGAGUCCACUUCUGAGGAACCUUAAUGAAGGAUUUGAGCAAAAUUCCCCUGCAGUCAAACCCUAAAAUCAUAUUCACUUGGACAGCAGCAGUGGCAAGAAGCAGUUAUUCUGAGUGCUUCUAGAUCCGACUGAUGGGAUUUCUUCAGAACCAAAACCUGACUCAGCCAGAGGUCACCCGCUGGGAGUCAACACCCCACCGCUCUUCAGCUGGUACUGUAACAUUGCAAGGAACAGUUUACUUACAUAUCUUAGUAAAGUAUCUCUCCAUGGAAAAUUGUUUAUUUAUUUUUUGUAAUGCGUAUGUAUGUGCCAACAUGCUUAUAGGAAUAUACUGUAGUAUGAGGGUCACAUAAAUUAAACAAAUCCCUUUUCAUUUAGAGCUCUUCACUCCAAUACCUUUAAACUCCUGUACAUAUUUUAAAUUGUGUGUAACCACUUGUCACGGUUUAAAUAUUGCCUUGACAGUCACCUCGUUGAGGUUCAAAUCUAUUUUGGAAGAAUUUCCUUCUGAAUCUGUUUAUUCUUCAACAGAGUGAUUGUUUUCUUGCCCUUUUGUGUCCCUCAGACACCUCGUGCCUCCACACAGACAGGUAUAAACAGGCCCGUUAUCUGCUAUGCACUGAUGCUGAUGCUGCUGCUUCAUCACCGGCCCGGUUUGCAGCAGCAGGGGAGUGUGAGCCCAUCACGGACUCUCUGCUCACACCUCCCAUACCCUGGGACCUUGUUCAGCGCUGACAGCUUCCUAAUCCUCUUGUGGAUACCCAAAUGCCUUCGUGAUGAAUGCAGCAUUUGCAUCCUUUUGAAAUAAUGUAUAUUUUACAUGCAAUGUAAUACCAUAUGUCACUUUUAAAAUGUAGCGAUAAUACUUUUUUCUUUACAGAUCUGUGAUGUAUUGUUGUUAUUAUUUCAAUAAUUUAAUAAAAAACGAGUUAAAGCCGCACUAAUCAAUAUCUUUAUUUGAGUAAUGGGUCACAUGUGAAGGUGUUAAUCCUACCGGCAAAAAAAACAAAAAA